rnacentral:rRNA from 1 species
CCUACGGGAGGCAGCAGUGGGGAAUAUUGCACAAUGGGGGGAACCCUGAUGCAGCAACGCCGCGUGGGUGAAGAAGUACUCCGGUAUGUAAAGCUCUGUCAGCAGGGAAGAAAAUGACGGUACCUGACGAAGAAGCCCCGGCUAACUACGUUCCAGCAGCCGCGGUAAUACGUAGGGGGCAAGCGUUAUCCGGAUUUACUGGGUGUAAAGGGGGCGUAGACGGGAAGGUAAGUCUGCAGUGAAAGCCUGUGGCUCAACCACGGGACUGCUUUGGAAACUGUGUUGCUGGAGUGCAGGAGAGGUAAGCGGAAUUCCUAGUGUAGCGGUGAAAUGCGUAGAUAUUAGGAGGAACACCGGUGGCGAAGGCGGCUUACUGGACUGUAACUGACGUUGAGGCUCGAAGGCGUGGGGAGCAAACAGGAUUAGAUACCCUUGUAGUC